UUGACAGCCCUAGAGACUGAAGUCAUCUAUUUACACCAAGGACAGUAAUAGUACAAACUUCUUCCACAUUGCUAGACUAAUGUGCUUUCUCACUAGGAAUAAAAUGCUAGUUCAAUCUCUGUGCCUAUUCACUUCUUGGUCUCU
rnacentral:sRNA from 1 species